CAGAAGAGAAAAGAAACAAUAAAUGCCAUUUUAUUUUACACAGCCAACAUUUUAUUACCUAAUCUGAGACAGACUCUUUUAUUUUAGAACUUGAGUUGAAAUGUACAUGAUACUUUGAAUUUCUGGAGAUUUUGGGCCAUGCUGUUGACAUCACAUGCUAAAUUUAUGUCCCAAUUUGUUUUAAACAGAUUAAUUGCAAUGGAAACUUGGCUUUGAAAAAGAAAAAGGGAGGUGAAAAAAAACUAAGCAUUUCACCACUAAAGCCACUUGAAGUAUUACAUAACACAUAAACGGAGAGUUGGAAGAGGUUGGAAAAGGAAUUCCUAUUUCAUCCCAUUAGCCAUGAACCUUUUUAUUGUUCUUGGAGGAAGUGCGGUCAUGAAAGGGUGACACGUUGCACGGGUGUUGAUUUACAGAGCUCCUGUUACUGAAGGAUUUACUUUUGCAUGGUGGUCACAAUGUCACCACAAAAACCAAAGCUUUGUACACUUCCAACUUGGCUUGCUAUGAACUUUUGAACCAUCUGUUUACUCAAUUGAGGAAUCUAGAAUUAAACCACACAAAUGGCAUGCCAAAUUUUAGAGCCUAAGAUCGACUUUCAAAAAAAUGCAUUAUUGACUUCUAUAGUGUCAUUAUUGGCAUGGCACAUCAGUGCUCCAAAAAUGAUCAUGGAAAAGCAUACAACAGAAUCCUCCCUUGAACCUGUAUACAAAUACUGCUAUAUUCGAACUGAAAUUGUAAUUUAGUAAAACAACAAUGCUAUUCCAAACAGUAAAGAAAGUUCAAUGAAAGUAGCCUUGCUUAAAAAAAAGAACACAAUGUACGAAUUAAAACAAAUAAAAGGGUGCAAUGCAGAUAUCAGGCAGUAAUGUGUUCCAAGGCACAAAUCCAAGUCACAAAUCCCUUCUUUCCAAAUCCACAUUCACUUCAUGAUUACAUAACCAUGAUCUCAAAGGAUCCUGGGAGCACAGACUUGUAAAGGGUUGCAUUUCUUCUUAAAUUCAACUCACUCCAGUGCAGAAUUCUCUGUAGUAUGUGCCAGGCCCUUAUAUCAUGUGGAAAUCUAGACCUUUAUUCUGUUGUACUCCACUGCAGCUGCCUGAGAUUUUCCUUCCAGACCUGCUGACAAGGGGAGGCCUAUUAGCCUUGACUGACCACCAACAGCAAACAAAAGACUUAAGACACACCAAUCACUCAAAGAAACCAUGAUUAAAGAGUUGCACAACAAACAAAAGCCUAAAAAAGUCUGAUUUCUCUGAAACUAAGGUGAAAACAUGAAUCGGAGCAGGCUUUGCUUGUUGCCGUCUAGACGGUUGUCCGUAAUUCUCCAUGUUUUCAAACAUGACUUCAUAGCCACCCCCGGGUUGUGUGCAUGCCAUCUGGAUGAAUGAGAUCCAGGCAACAAUAUUCCAAAGACACGUCACCCCACCAAAACAUUUGCAUCUCUGACAACAAAAGCCCAUUGAGCGACUGUAGCUGUGAGAGAACAGAGAAGGGUUUGAUAAACGAUAAGCUCUCCACUUGAGUCAAAGAACUGGGCGUCCCUGUGGAGGAUUCAGCUCUGCCCGCUGGCAGAUUGACCUCAUUGUUGAAUCACAGCAUAUCGCCCCACUCCAGGGUCCAGAUAGAUAUGUUGUAUCUGUGUUUGUAUGAAUGCACAGUAAUGCAAGACACACUAGUUCCUAUGUAAAGGAUUUUGAUCAUAUAUAAAUUAACACAAAUCAAGAAAGGGCAUUUUUAACAUCAGGACAUAAUGAGCUUGAAUUAAAAAGGUACACUAUGUAACUUUUGGCACUCUAGCUGUUAAUAAAUAAAACUGCAUGCGUCUUGUGGAAGAACACUGUAGAUGGUGUUAAUUAAUUCUGGUUAUAUAUAUGACGAGUCACGCAGGUACUGGGCUACACCUCAGCAGUUGUCGUCCCACUCGGUCUAAAAUAGUCCAUAUAUAUAUAUAUAUAAACACUUGCUAUAAGUGUACCGUAGUGAUUCAGGAUAAAACAAAAACACGGUUUGGAAGAUGGAUUCAUGAUGUACUGCUCAUUACAUAAAUUUUGUAAAUUUUAAGUAAAUUAAUUUUUUUUUUUAAAAAGUAAUGGUAAAGACAAAACUGUAUUGCAUCAAAUGGAUUUAAAUAUAUAUUCAAAUGGUGAAACGAUAUCUAAAAAAAAAAAAAAAAAGGUUAUCGUUUCACCAUUUGAAUAUAUAUUUAAAUCCAUUUGAUGCAAUACAGUUUUGUCUUUACCAUUUUUUUUUUUUUUUUCUUCUUUUUUUUUUUAGAUAUUUUAACAUUAUACAUCUUACAAUGCCUUUUUAAAAUACACUGGCUUAUGUCAUUUAUGUUGUAGAACAAAAUGUGAAAGUAAUAUUAACCUCAGCCCUCAUUCUAAGUAAUUCAAAAAACCGCUAGGGUAUUCCCAUGGGAACCCAUGUCGAAUUAGCCUACAAAUUAAUGUCAUAAAUCAGAACUGAACAGCUCUAUUGCUCCAGUGGUAGGAAAAUCCCUUAUUAAGCAAUGUAUAUAUGGCUCACAGGGCAAGAUUAAUUAUAUUUUUAAAGGCCCACUGAAGUGCCUUGGAACGCGCAGCAUAUAUUGGUGUAAUUUCCACUGAAACAAAGACAGAGCAGGGCAUAUCGAACUGCUCCUCCCCUUUUUAAAAACAGCCAAUAGCUUUUUGUUUAUAUAACAGCUUGGCCAGAGCUGUUGAGCUUGGUAAAGCAGCAGUUUCCUCCUAAUUUUUAACCAUUUCUCCUCCUAAUCUCCAUAUUGCUUUAAAAUAUAGCAUUCCGUGCAGAAUUCAAAUGGGUCCAACACGUUUUCUGGUAUGCGUCGACUCGCGCAUAUGAUCCACUCUGUGCUAUCGUGUCUCUGGACCGGAGCAGACUGUGCACGCUGCGGUGGUUUGACUUGAUUCGCCCCAAUGGAAAGCAUAUUUACACUGUCUGAAUCGCUCCCUAUCCCAUAUACUGUAUAGUGCACUAUGUGCCAUUCACCAUGUAGAAAAUAGUAAAUGUGUGAACAAGUGACUGAUUUAAGCCGCAGCUUCAGCGUCUUUUUAGAUUCUAGAGAGCAUUUGAUUGGACAGAAAAUCUGAUGAGAAGCUGAAGUGCAGAGUGAUGUCAUCUAAAUCUUUGAUUCAUAUUGGCAGAAGUGAGAGACUAAGUUUUGAAUGCUUAUAUCUUCUAAAUUCCCAUUGUUUUGGAGCACACUAACAUUCAUACUAAAAGCCAAAAAACUUCCAUUUUGAUUUCAUGGGGACUUUAACUGGUUUUCUAUAAAUUAAUUCUGUAGAAUUAAUUCAGUUUGUUAUAUUAAGUGUUUUUAAUCCUUAAAUUUGAAAUUUAAAAUUAAAUUAGUAAACAUUUACCAUUCAAAACUGAACUGUCAUUACAAAACUAUUUCACUCAAAUGAGAAUAGAAAAAAAAAUCUGGUUGAUUUUGUUAGAAUAAAAAAAAAAAAAAAAAAAAAAAAAAAAAA